GAUGAACGCUAGCGGCAGGCUUAAUACAUGCAAGUCGUGGGGCAGCAGGGGUAGCAAUACCCGCUGGCGACCGGCAAACGGGUGCGGAACACGUACGCAACCUUCCUUUAACUGGAGAAUAGCCCCUCGAAAGAGGGAUUAAUACUCCGUAACAUGUACAUGUGGCAUCACAAGUACAUUAUAGCUCCGGCGGUUAAAGAUGGGCGUGCGCCUGAUUAGAUAGUUGGCGGGGAACGGCCCACCAAGUCUGCGAUCAGUAACUGGUGUGAGAGCACGACCAGUCACACGGGCACUGAGACACGGGCCCGACUCCUACGGGAGGCAGCAGUAAGGAAUAUUGGUCAAUGGACGCAAGUCUGAACCAGCCAUGCCGCGUGGAGGA
rnacentral:rRNA from 1 species